GUCGGGAAUUUUGGGCAAUGGGCGAAAGCCUGACCCAGCAACGCCGCGUGAAGGAUGAAGUAUUUCGGUAUGUAAACUUCGUAAGAAUGGGAAGAACAAAUGACGGUACCAUUUGUAAGCCCCGGCUAACUACGUGCCAGCAGCCGCGGUAAUACGUAGGGGGCAAGCGUUGUUCGGAUUUACUGGGCGUAAAGGGCGCGUAGGCGGCGUGACAAGUCACUUGUGAAAUCUCCGGGCUUAACUCGGAACGGCCAAGUGAUACUGUUGUGCUAGAGUGCAGAAAGGGCAAUCGGAAUUCUUGGUGUAGCGGUGAAAUGCGUAGAUAUCAAGAGGAACACCUGAGGCGAAGGCGGGUUGCUAGGCUGACACUGACGCUGAGGCGCGAAAGCCAGGGGAGCAAACGGGAUUAGAUACCCGGGUAGUCC
rnacentral:rRNA from 1 species